UUUUAGUGUUAUUGUUUAAAUUUAUUAGUUUGUGUUUAGUUAAUUGGAGAACUUUAAGGUUUUAUUAUGGUUAUGGAAAAAAUUUUUUUUAUAAUAGUUAAUAGUAUUGUGGGAGAAUUACUUAAGAUUUUUAUAAGAAAAUUUAGUUUAUUGUACCUUGUGUAUCAGGGUUUAUUAAUUUAGGAUUAUUUAUUUAGUUUUCCCGAAUUUAAAAGAGUUAAUUUGUUAUUUAUUUUGUUGUGGAAUAAACAUUUAGGAUAAUGAAUUGGUAAUGAAACGUUAUUCGUUUUUGAUUAUAUCUGGUUUUUCAAGAAAUGAAUUUAAUUCAUGAUUUAUGAAUUAUAGUUAUAAGUUUUUAUUUGUAUAGUGCAUAAAUUAAAUAUCUGGGGGGAUGAGCUUUUGGAUAAAUAUCUAUAAAAGUUUAUUUUGUUUAUGUUUUAUAGGAUUAGAAAUUUUCAUUAUUUGUAGUGUGUUAUUAUUAGGCAUAAUUUAGAUAAAAUAUUUAUUUUGUUUUAGUUUAUAUAUUGAAAUAUAGUUUUUAAUUUUAAUUAUCUAGCAAUAAUGAUAGAAUUAGUAUAAUUUAAUUUACGAAUAGUUUUUAGGUUUAAGUUUAUGAUAAGGAAUUCGGCAAAUUUAGUUUCCACCUGUUUAUUAAAAACAUGUCUUUUUGUUUAUGAUUUAAAGUCUGACCUGCCCAAUGAUUGUUUUGAAUGGCCGCAGUAUUUUGACUGUGCAAAGGUAGCAUAAUCAUUAGUUUUUUAAAUGGAAGCUGGAAUGAAUGGUUUGAUGAGAAAUAAGCUGUCUCACUAUAAAUGAUUUAGAAUUUUAUUUUUAAGUUAAAAAGCUUAAAUUUUUUAAGAAGACGAGAAGACCCUAUAGAGUUUAAUAUAGAAUGUGAAAAGGUUUUGGGGGCAAUAAUAAAUCUUUUUGCAGUAAUAUAUUUUGUUGGGGUGACGUGAAAAUUAGUUUAACUUUUUAUUUAUUGAGACAUGGAUUAAUGGUUAUAUGAUCCUAAAUUUUAGAUUAGAAGAAAAAAUUACCUUAGGGAUAACAGCGUAAUUUUUUUUGAGAGUUCUUAUCGAAAAAAGAGAUUGCGACCUCGAUGUUGGAUUAAAGUUAAAUUUUGGUGCAGAAGCUUAAAAUUUAGGUCUGUUCGACCUUUAAAACUUUACAUGAUCUGAGUUUAAACCGGUGUGAGCCAGGUUGGUUUCUAUCUUUUAAUAGUUGAUACAUUUUAGUACGAAAGGACCAGGUGUAUAAAUGAUAUUUUUGUUAUGAAUAAAAUUA
rnacentral:rRNA from 1 species